rnacentral:tRNA from 1 species
GCCUGGGUGGCUCAGUUGGUUAAGCAUCUGACUUUGACUCAGAUCAUGAUCUCAGGGUCCUGGGAUCAAGUCCCAUGCUGGGCU